rnacentral:rRNA from 1 species
UACGUAGGAGGCGAGCGUUGUCCGGAAUUACUGGGCGUAAAGCGUGCGCAGGCGGUUCGUUGUGUCGGCGGUGAAAGCCCCGGGCUCAACCUGGGAAUGGCCGUUGAAACUGGCGAACUGGAGUGUGGCAGAGGGGGGUGGAAUUCCGCGUGUAGCAGUGAAAUGCGUAGAGAUGCGGAGGAACACCGAUGGCGAAGGCAGCCCCCUGGGCUGACACUGACGCUCAGGCACGAAAGCGUGGGGAGCAAACAGG